rnacentral:pre_miRNA from 1 species
GCCUUCCUGGUGCCCUUCAUUCCACCGGAAUCUGUCGAUGCAGAACCCGGAUUUCAGUGAAAUGAAGCCCCUCAGAAAGGC